rnacentral:piRNA from 1 species
UAGCACACUGUCUCACUGUUCUGGUC